CCAGCAGCCGCGGUAAUUCCAGCUCCAAUAGCGUAUAUUAAAGUUGUUGCGGUUAAAAAGCUCGUAGUUGGAUCUCGGCGGCCAGGGGGUGGUUCGCUCUACGGCGUUACUGCCCCAUUUGGCCGUGUGAUUGGCGGAGGUUUCGGGGUGCUCUUCGCUGAGUGACCCGGGGCGCCGUCAGGUUUACUUUGAAAAAAUUAGAGUGCUCAAAGCAGGCUUUCACGCUUGAAUAUUCGUGCAUGGAAUAAUGGAAUAGGAACUCGUUUCUAUUUUGUUGGUUUUCGGAAAUCGAGUUAAUGAUUAAUAGGGACAAUUGGGGGCAUUAGUAUUCAGACGACAGAGGUGAAAUUCUUGGACCGUCUGAAGACUAACUACUGCGAAAGCAUUUGCCAAGAGUGUUUUCAUUAAUCAAGAACGAAAGU
rnacentral:rRNA from 1 species